rnacentral:tRNA from 1 species
GGGCCCAUAGUUCAACGGAUAGAAUUUCGGGUUUCGGCCCCGAUGAUGGAGGUUCAAUUCCUCCUGGGCUCA